GACGUAGGGCGCGAGCGUUGUCCGGAUUUAUUGGGCGUAAAGAGCUCGUAGGCGGCUUGUCGCGUCGACUGUGAAAUCCCGCGGCUCAACUGCGGGUCUGCAGUCGAUACGGGCAGGCUAGAGUUCGGUAGGGGAGACUGGAAUUCCUGGUGUAGCGGUGAAAUGCGCAGAUAUCAGGAGGAACACCGGUGGCGAAGGCGGUUCUCUGGGCCUUACCUGACGCCGAGGAGCGAAAGCGUGGGGAGCGAACAGG
rnacentral:rRNA from 1 species